AUGCACGCUGGCGGCGUGCCUAAUACAUGCAAGUCGCGCGAACAGACGAGGAGCUUGCUCCUCUGACGUUAGCGGCGGACGGGUGAGUAACACGUGGAUAACCUACCUAUAAGACUGGGAUAACUUCGGGAAACCGGAGCUAAUACCGGAUAAUAUAUUGAACCGCGUGGUUCAAUAGUGAAAGACGGUUUUGCUGUCACUUAUAGAUGGAUCCGCGCCGCAUUAGCUAGUUGGUAAGGUAACGGCUUACCAAGGCAACGAUGCGUAGCCGACCUGAGAGGGUGAUCGGCCACACUGGAACGGAGACACGGUCCAGACUCCUACGGGAGGCAGCAGUAGGGAAUCUUCCGCAAUGGGCGAAAGCCUGACGGAGCAACGCCGCGUGAGUGAUGAAGGUCUUCGGAUCGUAAAACUCUGUUAUUAGGGAAGAACAAAUGUGUAAGUAACUAUGCACGUCUUGACGGUACCUAAUCAGAAAGCCACGGCUAACUACGUG
rnacentral:rRNA from 1 species